CCCUUAGAUGUUCUGGGCCGCACGCGUGCUACACUGAGUAAUUCAAUGGGUAAGGGAACGCUAGAGCAUUACCUAAUCUUGAAAUUUGCUCGUGAUGGGGAUCGACGGUUGCAAUUUUCCGUCGUGAACGAGGAAUACCUUGUAGGCGCAUGUCAUCAUCGUGCGCCGAAUACGUCCCUGCCCUUUGUACACACCGCCCGUCGCUCCUACCGAUUGAGUGAUCCGGUGAGGCUCUGGGACCUGGACGGAAAGAGCGUUUCGCUUGUUCUGUUUGGGAAACUUGGUCGAACCUUAUCAUUUAGAGGAAGGAGAAGUCGUAACA
rnacentral:rRNA from 1 species